GUGGGGAAUCUUGCGCAAUGGGCGAAAGCCUGUCGCAGCAACGCCGCGUGCGGGAUGACGGCCUUCAAGGUUGUAAACCGCUUUCAGCAGGGACGAAAAUGACGGUACCUGCAGAAGAAGCCCCGGCUAACUACGUGCCAGCAGCCGCGGUAAUACGUAGGGGGCAAGCGUUGUCCGGAUUCAUUGGGCGUAAAGAGCUCGUAGGCGGUUCAGUAAGUCGGGUGUGAAAGCUCCGAGCUCAACUCGGAGAGGCCACCCGAUACUGCUGUGACUUGAGUACAGUAGGGGAGCGUGGAAUUCCUGGUGUAGCGGUGAAAUGCGCAGAUAUCAGGAGGAACACCAGCGGCGAAGGCGGCGCUCUGGGCUGUAACUGACGCUGAGGAGCGAAAGUGUGGGUAGCAAACAGGAUUAGAAACCCUAGUAGUCC
rnacentral:rRNA from 1 species